UAUCUUAGUGGCGGACGGGUGAGUAACGCGUGGGUAACCUGCCUUACACUGGGGGAUAACACUUAGAAAUAGGUGCUAAUACCGCAUAACAGAGGGAGUCGCAUGACUUCGUCUUAAAAACUCCGGUGGUGUAAGAUGGACCCGCGUCUGAUUAGCUGGUUGGCGGGGUAGCGGCCCACCAAGGCGACGAUCAGUAGCCGGCCUGAGAGGGUGAACGGCCACAUUGGGACUGAGACACGGCCCAAACUCCUACGGAAGGCAGCAG
rnacentral:rRNA from 1 species